UUGUGCUUAGUGGAUGUGCUGAAUGCGGAGCCGUGAUCCGUGUGAGAGUGUGCAUUUUUCCCCAUCCACUUCCUUACAGAUGCAAUAGAAUCCCCCAUGCCUGCAGCACAGCUGAGUACUGGAAGGGGAGAGUAAGAGACUGCAAAAAGAGGAAAAACGACAGAUGUAACAUAUAUUCUCUUCGGCAAAUAAAUAGUAGCUGGCUGUGCUGUGGACGGUAGAAAUUUUCUGCAAACGAAGCAAACCAGCGUACCACGAAGUAGAGACUAUAGGCGAUCAGCCGGCAGCAUUUGUCUGAAGGAACAUUGGCUGCAUUUCCCGUCUUCGUGAAAUAAGGACUCUGUUCGGAAAGACACAGGGAAAAGGUCCAGAGCCACCCAGCUUCGCACCUUACACAGACGGGAACCACAUCUCCACUGGUGCCCCCUGUUGCCCCACCCAGUCCUCCACCUGUCUCCUGAUGUAUUCAAGCACACAUUGUUGAACGUAAGUGCUGUU